CCUUGGCAGCCUCAGUCUCCUGGGUGAAGUGCUGGUGGGCGAUCCGGACCCGGUACACGCCCAUGGCCACGACAAACACCAGCAUGCACACGGAGAUGAUGAUGACCACUGUGGCGAUGCUUGGGACCACUGGAACGAGGAAGGAAUCCACAUGACAUGGGCAGCUUCCACUGAGAGCCAGACAAUUAUGGAACUUCAUAGGGCUGGAGUGCUUGCCUGCCAGCCAGUAAUACAAAUGGCAAGACUAAAACAGAAGUGCGGGUGGGAGACCCCAGUACGGAGUACGUAUGCAGAUGUGUGAGCAUAUGAAGGGGUUCAUGAGAGCUUCACACAGGAUGUGGCUUAGAGUGAGGCCUAAAAGACUUAGAAGAUUUGACCCUAGCACUCUGUACUAAACCCUGUUAUGAUA